UACGGAGGGCGCGAGCGUUGUCCGGAAUCACUGGGCGUAAAGGGCGCGUAGGCGGCCCUGGUAAGUCUGCGGUGAAAGCCCGGGGCUCAACCCCGGGUCGGCCGCGGGUACUGCCGGGCUGGAGUGCCGUAGGGGCAGGCGGAAUUCCGGGUGUAGCGGUGGAAUGCGUAGAGAUCCGGAAGAACACCGGUGGCGAAGGCGGCCUGCUGGGCGGCGACUGACGCUGAGGCGCGACAGCGUGGGGAGCAAACGAGG
rnacentral:rRNA from 1 species